rnacentral:tRNA from 1 species
GCGGGCGUAGCUCAGGGGUAGAGCAUCACCUUGCCAAGGUGAGGGUCAAGGGUUCGAAUCCCUUUGCCCGCUCCA